UACGAAGGGGGCUAGCGUUGUUCGGAAUUACUGGGCGUAAAGCGCACGUAGGCGGACUAUUAAGUCAGGGGUGAAAUCCCGGGGCUCAACCCCGGAACUGCCUUUGAUACUGGUAGUCUCGAGUCCGAGGGAGGUGAGUGGAAUUCCGAGUGUAGAGGUGAAAUUCGUAGAUAUUCGGAGGAACACCAGUGGCGAAGGCGGCUCACUGGCUCGGUACUGACGCUGAGGUGCGAAAGCGUGGGGAGCAAACAGG
rnacentral:rRNA from 1 species